GCUUUUCAGUAGUUUACUACAGAAAAUGACUGAGCGGCGAACGGGUGAGUAACGCGUGAGCAAUCUACCUUAGUUACUGGGAUAGCCCGAGGAAACUCGGAUUAAUACCGGAUAUUCUUAUUUUUUCACAUGAAGUUUUAAGGAAAGGUCAGCCGAACUAAGAUGAGCUCGCGUUCUAUCAGCUAGUUGGUGGGGUAAAAGCCUACCAAGGCUACGACGGAUAGCUGGUCUGAGAGGACGAUCAGCCACACUGGGACUGAGACACGGCCCAGACUCCUACGGGAGGCUGCAGCAGGGAAUAUUGCGCAAUGAGCGAAAGCUUGACGCAGCGACACCGCGUGUGGGAUGACGGUUCUAGGAUUGUAAACCACUUUCAGGAGGGAAGAAAAUGACGGUACCUCCACAAGAAGACCCGGCCAACUACGUGCCAGCAGCCGCGGUAAUACGUAGGGGUCAAGCGUUGUCCGGAUUUAUUGGGCGUAAAGAGCUCGUAGGCGGUUCAACAAGUCGGUCGUAAAAGUUUAGGGCUCAACCCUAAAAUGUCGAUCGAUACUGUUGUGACUAGGAUACGGUAGAGGUGAAUGGAAUUCCGAGUGUAGCGGUGAAAUGCGUAGAUAUUCGGAGGAACACCAAUUGCGAAGGCAGUUCACUGGACCGUGAUCGACGCUGAGGAGCGAAAGCUAGGGGAGCAAACAGGAUUAGAUACCCUGGUAGUCCUAGCUGUAAACGAUGGAUACUAGAUGUAGGAACUGGAUUGACGGUUUCUGUAUCGUAGCUAACGCGUUAAGUAUCCCGCCUGGGGAGUACGGUCGCAAGACUAAAACUCAAAGGAAUUGACGGGACCCCGCACAAGCGGCGGAGCAUGCGGCUUAAUUCGAUGAUACCCGUAGAACCUUACCUGGACUUGACAUAUAGGGAAAAGCUAAAGAAAUUUAGUGUGCGUAAGCGCCCUAUACAGGUGGUGCAUGGCUGUCGUCAGCUCGUGUCGU
rnacentral:rRNA from 1 species